rnacentral:rRNA from 1 species
GAUGAACGCUGGCGGCGUGCCUAAUACAUGCAAGUCGAGCGAACGGACGAGAAGCUUGCUUCUCUGAUGUUAGCGGCGGACGGGUGAGUAACACGUGGAUAACUUACCUAUAAGACUGGGAUAACUUCGGGAAACCGGAGCUAAUACCGGAUAAUAUUUUGAACCGCAUGGUUCAAAAGUGAAAGACGGUCUUGCUGUCACUUAUAGAUGGAUCCGCGCUGCAUUAGCUAGUUGGUAAGGUAACGGCUUACCAAGGCAACGAUGCAUAGCCGACCUGAGAGGGUGAUCGGCCACACUGGAACUGAGACACGGUCCAGACUCCUACGGGAGGCAGCAGUAGGGAAUCUUCCGCAAUGGGCGAAAGCCUGACGGAGCAACGCCGCGUGAGUGAUGAAGGUCUUCGGAUCGUAAAACUCUGUUAUUAGGGAAGAACAUAUGUGUAAGUAACUGUGCACAUCUUGACGGUACCUAAUCAGAAAGCCACGGCUAACUACGUGCCAGCAGCCGCGGUAAUACGUAGGUGGCAAGCGUUAUCCGGAAUUAUUGGGCGUAAAGCGCGCGUAGGCGGUUUUUUAGUCUGAUGUGAAAGCCCACGGCUCAACCGUGGAGGGUCAUUGGAAACUGGAAAACUUGAGUGCAGAAGAGGAAAGUGGAAUUCCAUGUGUAGCGGUGAAAUGCGCAGAGAUAUGGAGGAACACCAGUGGCGAAGGCGACUUUCUGGUCUGUAACUGACGCUGAUGUGCGAAAGCGUGGGGAUCAAACAGGAUUAGAUACCCUGGUAGUCCACGCCGUAAACGAUGAGUGCUAAGUGUUAGGGGGUUUCCGCCCCUUAGUGCUGCAGCUAACGCAUUAAGCACUCCGCCUGGGGAGUACGACCGCAAGGUUGAAACUCAAAGGAAUUGACGGGGACCCGCACAAGCGGUGGAGCAUGUGGUUUAAUUCGAAGCAACGCGAAGAACCUUACCAAAUCUUGACAUCCUUUGACAACUCUAGAGAUAGAGCCUUCCCCUUCGGGGGACAAAGUGACAGGUGGUGCAUGGUUGUCGUCAGCUCGUGUCGCGAGAUGUUGGGUUAAGUCCCGCAACGAGCGCAACCCUUAAGCUUAGUUGCCAUCAUUAAGUUGGGCACUCUAAGUUGACUGCCGGUGACAAACCGGAGGAAGGUGGGGAUGACGUCAAAUCAUCAUGCCCCUUAUGAUUUGGGCUACACACGUGCUACAAUGGACAAUACAAAGGGCAGCGAAACCGCGAGGUCAAGCAAAUCCCAUAAAGUUGUUCUCAGUUCGGAUUGUAGUCUGCAACUCGACUACAUGAAGCUGGAAUCGCUAGUAAUCGUAGAUCAGCAUGCUACGGUGAAUAUGUUCCCGGGUCU